AUUGGAAUGUAUUGGUUUUACUAUGGUGGAGAGGUUCUUUUGUGCAUAUAUACACAUUUUCUACUAUAGUUUUUGCUCUAACCAACAAGUGACAAGCGAAGAGUUGUAAGAGUUAGUGCAUUGUGGAGAUCAUUCGUUGAUUUUCCAAGCGAGGUUUUAAAUAAUUGGGAAAACGUAUGGAGAAAAUGGACGAAUAAUUAUAUGGCUGCACCGUGGCGUAACCAUUGUCAUUAUUUUAAAUUAUUUUGAUUUUUAUUUUUUUACAGAAAUCUUGCUCCAAAUUUCAAUAGGCGCACGUUU